ACGGGGGGAGGAAAGUAGGGGAUCGCAAGACCUAUCGUUUUCGGAGUGGCCGAUAUCAGAUUAGCUAGUUGGUGAGGUAAAGGCUCACCAAGGCGACGAUCUGUAGCUGGUCUGAGAGGACGACCAGCCACACUGGGACUGAGACACGGCCCAGACUCCUACGGGAGGCAGCAGUGGGGAAUUUUGGACAAUGGGGGCAACCCUGAUCCAGCCAUGCCGCGUGAGUGAAGAAGGCCUUCGGGUUGUAAAGCUCUUUCAGCCGGAAAGAAAUCGUGCAGGCCAAUACCCUGCAUGGAUGACGGUACCGGAAGAAGAAGCACCGGCUAACUACGUGCCAGCAGCCGCGGUAAUACGUAGGGUGCGAGCGUUAAUCGGAAUUACUGGGCGUAAAGCGUGCGCAGGCGGUUUUGUAAGACAGGUGUGAAAUCCCCGGGCUUAACCUGGGAACUGCGUUUGAAACUACAAAGCUAG
rnacentral:rRNA from 1 species